GGGGUCGUAGCGAAGCCUGGCAUCGCAACGGGCUCCAGACCCGUGGAUCAAGGGUUCAAUUGAUUGCGGUUAACUGCCGCGUCAGAACAAAUCCCUUCGGCCCCA
rnacentral:tRNA from 1 species